CCCUUAGAUGUUCUGGGCCGCACGCGUGCUACACUGAGUGGAUCAGCGGGUCAGGUUGCGCGAAAGUGUUUCCUAAUCUUUAAAUCCGCUCGUGAUGGGGAUUGACGGUUGCAAUUUUCCGUCAUGAACGAGGAAUACCUUGUAAGCGCGGGUCAUCAUCCCGCGCUGAAUACGUCCCUGCCCUUUGUACACACCGCCCGUCGCUCCUACCGAUUGAGUGGUCCGGUGAGGCUUUGGGAUCUGAGCGGAAAGAGCGUUUCGCUGUUUCUGCCCGGAAAACUCAGUCGAACCUUAUAAUUUAGAGGAAGGAGAAGUCGUAACA
rnacentral:rRNA from 1 species